rnacentral:rRNA from 1 species
UACGAAGGGUGCUAGCGUUGUUCGGAAUCACUGGGCGUAAAGCGCACGCAGGCGGAUCGAUAAGUCGGGGGUGAAAUCCCGGGGCUCAACCUCGGACUUGCCUUCGAUACUGUCGGUCUCGAGUCCGGGAGAGGUGAGUGGAAUUCCUAGUGUAGAGGUGAAAUUCGUAGAUAUUAGGAAGAACACCAGUGGCGAAGGCGGUUCACUGGCCCGGUACUGACGCUCAGGUGCGAAAGCGUGGGGAGCAAACAGG